UCAGAAAUGUUUUCGGGGCAGUGCUCAGGAUGGGGCAGCCCUGGUCCAGAUCCUAGCCCCAGAAGCCAGCCCCGGGGGAGUUGGGGUGGGUUACAGCCAGGUCGGCUAGGCGCAAGCUCUCUGAGGUCAUGGCAGACUUACCUCAUCCCACUCUGAGGCAAAGGAAGGCGACUUCUCCAGCCUCUUCUUCCCCAUGCUGCAGUUGGACAAGGACUCGCUGCGACUCCCCAUUGUGGCGUCCUCCGUGGGGGAGCAGGUCAGGAGCUGCUGGGGUGUGGAGCCUGUAAGAGUCUCAAGAAACAGCUAAGACGGAAUACAUCCUUCCAGAUUCAUCUCACCCUUCAAGCUCGCCCAGGUUCCUUGCUAAGCUCUGGACCCAGCUGGUUCCUAUGGCUUCCCUUCAGGAAGCUCUGCUCUGCGCCCAUGGCCCCUUAGGAUUCCCAACAGCCAUAAAGAACUUUCCUAGCCUUCGUCCGCUAGCUCAGUGUCACUGGACACAGUGUUAACUGGGCUGGCUCGCUCACUUCCCUGUGCUCCCCUGACCUGGAAUUACUAGCCACCAGGGAUGAGGUGUGGUUGUUGCUUAGGGCAGUUCACUCUGCGCUGUCCAGUCCUGGCUCCCCACGCCUGGCCUUUAGGGCUGAUCUUUUUCAAAUUUGCCACCUCUUCAGCAUAACUGCACCACUGAAAAGACACACUCGGCUUUGGGGGACUGACUACCUUCCUAGUGUUUUCUCCUUCCGGUGCCAAUGGCUGGAAAGUGAACGACCACCUGGGCUGUGACUAACAGGAAGCAACAGGUCCUGAAAACAGCACCCUGCCCUGUGCUCAUUUCUGCAGAGGUCAUUCAGCCCCCUGCAUCGUCAGCGUCUCUCUUAAUCAUCAGAACCACGUUUCUGGGCAUUGUGGGCAUAUUUACACAGAUGUUCUCCUAGAACGCACAACAUUCAACCUAGAUUUAGCAUCGUCCCCCAGUCCUUGCCUUCCCAAGUGCCCAUUUGUACUGGUUAUGUAAUACUCUCUCAGCCAGGCUGGAAAGCCAGCCCUGCUCACCCACAUGUGGCUGCACCCCUGCCAUCUUACUCCUCAGGCUCCUUCCUCCUCCCCAAACUUCCUCCUGCCCCUCUGGGAUAGGCUCUAGUUACCAUCAGAGAUGAAGGUUCCUGGCUGCAGCUAUUCCUGCCUCCUGCCUGUCCCAAGCUAAGACUCCCAGAGUCUACCCUUUGGAGCGUGGCCCCUAGGCUGUCACCCCACUCCUAAAGUUUCAACAAUACCACUCUGUCUCUGAAAUAAAGACUGACAUUUGAGACCCAA